rnacentral:misc_RNA from 1 species
AUCUGCACCACAAAAAUCAUGAUUCUUAACAUGGGAGAUGGUCGAUUAAAAUAAAUAAAUAUUAGAGAGGGGGGGAGAGACCUGAUUAUGUAAUCUUUUUGAGUAAAGUUGAAAAUUUUUUAGCGCGCAUGUCAUGAUGUUGUGCUUUGCAAUUGCAUGCAAGUUUUUGCAAUUAGUGAAUAGGAAUUCAAAAAUGUUUCCCUCAACUAUAGUCGAGUCAAUUAUUGACACGUAUUGAAGGGAGAAACAGUUGUCUGCAUCCAAUUUUGUCAACUGGGGUGGAAGU